UACGUAGGGUGCUAGCGUUGUCCGGAUUUAUUGGGCGUAAAGGGCUCGUAGGCGGCUUGUCGCGUCGGGAGUGAAAGCCCGCUGCUUAACGGCGGGUUGGCUUCCGGUACGGGCUGGCUGGAGUGCGGCAGGGGAGACUGGAAUUCCUGGUGUAGCGGUGGAAUGCGCAGAUAUCAGGAGGAACACCGGUGGCGAAGGCGGGUCUCUGGGCCGUUACUGACGCUGAGGAGCGAAAGCCAGGGGAGCAAACGGG
rnacentral:rRNA from 1 species